rnacentral:rRNA from 1 species
UUGUAAUUGGAAUGAUGGUGACCUAAACCCUUCCCAGAGUAUCAAUUGGAGGGCAAGUCUGGUGCCAGCAGCCGCGGUAAUUCCAGCUCCAAUAGCGUAUAUUAAAGUUGUUGCAGUUAAGAAGCUCGUAGUUGAAUUUCUGCCUUGUCAUUAAUCUCGCUUCCGAGCGUUUUUUUAUUGGCUUGGCAUCUUCUGGAUUUGGUGCCUUCGGGUACUAUUUUCCAGGAUUUACUUUGAGAAAACUAGAGUGUUUCAAACAGGCAUUCGCCUUGAAUACUACAGCAUGGAAUAAUGAAGUAGGAC